GCGGGUGUGGCGAAAUUGGUAGACGCACUAGACUUAGGAUCUAGCGGGUAACCUUAUGGGUUCGAGUCCCUUCACCCGCACCA
rnacentral:tRNA from 1 species